rnacentral:rRNA from 1 species
AUUGAACGCUGGCGGCAGGCCUAACACAUGCAAGUCGAACGAGUGGCGGACGGGUGAGUAAUGUAUGGGAAACUGCCUGAUGGAGGGGGAUAACUACUGGAAACGGUAGCUAAUACCGCAUACCAUCGGAUGUGCCCAUAUGGGAUUAGCUAGUAGGUGGGGUAAAGGCUCACCUAGGCGACGAUCCCUAGCUGGUCUGAGAGGAUGACCAGCCACACUGGAACUGGGACACGGUCCAGACUCCUACGGGAGGCAGCAGUGGGGAAUAUUGGACAAUGGGGGCAAGCCUGAUGCAGCCAUGCCGCGUGUAUGAAGAAGGCCUUCGGGUUGUAAAGUACUUUCAGCGGGGAGGCGGUACCCGCAGAAUAAGCACCGGCUAACUACGUGCCAGCAGCCGCGGUAAUUC